AGAACGAACGCUGGCGGCAGGCUUAACACAUGCAAGUCGAGCGCCCUGCAAGGGGAGCGGCGGACGGGUGAGUAACACGUGGGAACAUGCCCUUUGGUUCGGAACAACUCAGGGAAACUUGAGCUAAAUACCGAAUGUGCCGGUAACGGGAAAGAUUUAUCGCCAAGGGAUUGGCCCGCGUCCGAUUAGCUAGUUGGUGAGGUAAAGGCUCACCAAGGCUCCGAUCGGUAGCUGGUUUGAGAGAACGACCAGCCACACUGGGACUGAGACACGGCCCAGACUCCUACGGGAGGCAGCAGUGGGGAAUCUUGGACAAUGGGGAAACCCUGAUCCAGCCAUGCCGCGUGAGUGAUGAAGGCCUUCGGGUUGUAAAACUCUUUCGACGGGGACGAUAAUGACGGUACCCGUAGAAGAAGCUCCGGCUAACUUCGUGCCAGCAGCCGC
rnacentral:rRNA from 1 species